GUGAGGGGAACAUGUAGCACCAUUCCUCAGAUAUAAAUAAGACAGGGUGGAAGCUGUGAGGAGCAGGAGAUGUGAAGAGAUAAGAGGACUCAUGUGGACUCAUAUGUGGGAACAUAUGACAGGAGAAACAAGCUUAAAGAAGUGAGGAGAUGCAGCAAGGAAAACUGGGAGAAAGAACAUGGCAGAAACACAAAAGAGAACACCAGAGGACAACUGUGAAGAGGCAGAGUUUUGGAGAAAAUUAAGAAGGAAGCAGAGAGAUACAGUGGAAAGGACACUGCUGGGCUCACAGCUGGAGGCACAGUUCUGCAAGGAGUUCCAUGACAUGAAGGCAAAUUCUUCUGAAAGAACUGGAGUCAUGGAUGACCCAUGCCAUAGCAGGGACACCCCUGAGUGGACUACAGCACAUGAAGUAACACAUACCAGUAUGCAGAAGGAUCUUAAUUCAUCCAUACUGUUUGAGAAGACAGCAUCAGAAAAACAGGUUAUCUAUAUAUACAAGCAAAUAUACUUCAAAAUAUGAAUAUACAGAAAUGUGUGCCAUCAGCAGCAGAAGUGAAUUAAAAUUCACAUUUGCUAAAAUUCAAUAAUUUUCUUACAUGAAUGUGAGUUUUAAAUCUGUAGAGCUGUCAGUCAAAACAAUAUAAAAACAUAGACUUAAUUUGUGAAGUCAUAGUGCAUGAAGAAUAAAUAACUUGGGGAAUUAUUUAUCA
rnacentral:lncRNA from 1 species